rnacentral:rRNA from 1 species
CAGCGCCUCAAGUGGUCAGGAUGAUUAUUGGGCCUAAAGCAUCCGUAGCCGGCGCUGUAAGUUUUCGGUUAAAUCUGUACGCUCAACGUACAGGCUGCCGGGAAUACUGCAGCGCUAGGGAGUGGGAGAGGUAGACGGUACUCGGUAGGAAGGGGUAAAAUCCUUUGAUCUAUUGAUGACCACCUGUGGCGAAGGCGGUCUACCAGAACACGUCCGACGGUGAGGGAUGAAAGCUGGGGGAGCAAACCGGAUUAGAUACCCGUGUAGUCC